GGAGAACUCGCGAGAGCUAGCAAUCCCAUAAACCGUGGCUCAGUUCAGAUCGUAGGCUGCAACUCGCCUACGUGAAGGAGGAAUCGCUAGUAAUCGCAGGUCAGCAUACUGCGGUGAAUACGUUCCCGGGCCUUGUACACACCGCCCGUCACACCAUGGAAGUUGGCCACGCCCGAAGCCGUUACUCCAACCCUUGUGGAGGAGGACGUCGAAGGUGGGGCUGAUGACUGGGGUGAAGUCGUAACAAGGUAGCCGUACCGGAAGGUGCGGCUGGAUCACCUCCUAA
rnacentral:rRNA from 1 species